rnacentral:rRNA from 1 species
CCUACGGGGUGCAGCAGUGAGGAAUAUUGGUCAAUGGACGAGAGUCUGAACCAGCCAAGUAGCGUGAAGGAUGACUGCCCUAUGGGUUGUAAACUUCUUUUAUAUGGGAAUAAAAUGUUCCACGUGUGGGAUUUUGUAUGUACCAUAUGAAUAAGGAUCGGCUAACUCCGUGCCAGCAGCCGCGGUAAUACGGAGGGUCCGAGCGUUAUCCGGAUUUAUUGGGUUUAAAGGGAGCGUAGGUGGAUUGUUAAGUCAGUUGUGAAAGUUUGCGGCUCAACCGUAAAAUUGCAGUUGAAACUGGCAGUCUUGAGUACAGUAGAGGUGGGCGGAAUUCGUGGUGUAGCGGUGAAAUGCUUAGAUAUCACGAAGAACUCCGAUUGCGAAGGCAGUUCACUGGACUGCAACUGACACUGAGGCUCGAAAGUGUGGGUAUCAAACAGGAUUAGAUACCCUUGUAGUC